GACGAACUGUCCUAACGUUGUUCGGAAUCACUGGGCUUAAAGGGCGCGUAGGCGGUCCGCCAAGUCAGGGGUGAAAUCCUGCAGCUUAACUGUAGAAGUGCCUCUGAUACUGGCGGUCUUGAGGGAAAUAGGGGUGUGCGGAACUUCCAGUGGAGCGGUGAAAUGCGUUGAUAUUGGAAGGAACGCCGGAGGCGAAAGCGGCGCACUGGAUUUCUUCUGACGCUGAGGCGCGAAAGCUAGGGGAGCAAACGGGG
rnacentral:rRNA from 1 species